rnacentral:lncRNA from 1 species
CCUGACUGUCUUUGUUGGGGGUGGUGACAGACUUGCCUGCUGUCCCCAGGCCUUCACAUGCUGAGAUGGAAGACUCAAUGUCAAAAUCUCUUACUUCUUUGGAAUAUAUUCUCAAACACUGGAAAUUAUUCCACCUUCAUAUUUAGAAAGAGAAGUUUAAUACUUUCCUGCACCCAUGAAUGGCCUG